rnacentral:rRNA from 1 species
AUUGAACGCUGGCGGAAUGCUUUACACAUGCAAGUCGAACGGCAGCACGGACUUCGGUCUGGUGGCGAGUGGCGAACGGGUGAGUAAUAUAUCGGAACGUGCCCAGUCGUGGGGAUAACGUAGUGAAAAUUACGCUAAUACCGCAUACGAUCUAAGGAUGAAAGCGGGGGAUCGCAAGACCUCGCGCGAUUGGAGCGGCCGAUAUCAGAUUAGGUAGUUGGUGAGGUAAAGGCUCACCAAGCCAACGAUCUGUAGCUGGUCUGAGAGGACGACCAGCCACACUGGAACUGAGACACGGUCCAGACUCCUACGGGAGGCAGCAGUGGGGAAUUUUGGACAAUGGACGCAAGUCUGAUCCAGCCAUUCCGCGUGCAGGACGAAGGCCUUCGGGUUGUAAACUGCUUUUGUACAGAACGAAAAGGUCUCUAUUAAUACUAGGGGCUCAUGACGGUACUGUAAGAAUAAGCACCAGCUAACUACGUGCCAGCCGCCGCGGUAA